rnacentral:rRNA from 1 species
UACGGAGGGUGCAAGCGUUAUCCGGAUUCACUGGGUUUAAAGGGUGCGUAGGUGGGCAGGUAAGUCAGUGGUGAAAUCUCCGAGCUUAACUCGGAAACUGCCAUUGAUACUAUCUGUCUUGAAUUAUCUGGAGGUGAGCGGAAUAUGUCAUGUAGCGGUGAAAUGCUUAGAUAUGACAUAGAACACCAAUUGCGAAGGCAGCUCACUACGGAUAUAUUGACACUGAGGCACGAAAAGCGUGGGGGAUCAAACAGG